AUGGCAACAUUGUGUGGACCGGUGGUCGUCGACGGGAGCGGUCCACCACGGUAUAGGACUAUCAAGGCAGAGGAGCUGUUCAGCUCGUCCAGGACAAUGCUCAACCCGCGCACCAACACGUUCUACUACGUCGGGCUCGCCGGCAUCUCCGUCGGCGACGAGGCCCUUUUCGUCCCAACCUCCGCCUUCGCCAUGGAUGACGCGGCUGCCACCCGCCUCCAGUCCUCCUCAUGCUUGCCUCUGGGGUCUGGCUCCAAUGUGAUCGCCAGGACACUCCCGCGAUCUCCUCCUCCGGCAAGCUCCAGUUCUCCCUGUAGACUUCCUAAGCUCGCUUUGGUCCUACCUGAGCAGCCCCUAAUCCUCGACAUCACCCCGACGCCAGCCCGGCCGUGCUCCGCCUCCCACUGCCGUCAACGCAACCGUCGCUUCGGUGCGUCCUCGCCGCGUCCGAGCACGCGUAGAUGCUCUAGUGAUACGCUGGUUACUCUCUCCUCUCCCGAAGCUUCCUCCCCGUACCAUCUAGCUGCCCGCAUAGCGCCACUCCUCAGUCCUCACCUCCGCUGCUGGAAGCCAUCGCCAGCAAAGCUUCGGCCGUCCCGCGUGCCCAUGCUUGCUUUCCCAGCCAUGCGGACACCCAGCUCGCUCGCCAAAAGCGUGCAGCCUCUCCCUACUAGCUCCUGCACCGUCCAGAGCGCCGCCGUCGUGCCCGCUGCCGGAGUUCCUCGCUGCGCCCAACAAAUGUUUGUGUAA
rnacentral:rRNA from 1 species